UACAUGUGGGGCUAGCGUUGCUCGGAAUCACUGGGCGUAAAGGGUGCGUAGGCGGGUCUUUAAGUCAGGGGUGAAAUCCUGGAGCUCAACUCCAGAACUGCCUUGAUACUGAAGAUCUUGAGUUCGGGAGAGGUGAGUGGAACUGCGAGUGUAGAGGUGAAAUUCGUAGAUAUUCGCAAGAACACCAGUGGCGAAGGCGGCUCACUGGCCCGAUACUGACGCUGAGGCACGAAAGCGUGGGGAGCAAACAGGG
rnacentral:rRNA from 1 species